GAGGGUAUAGCUCAGUGGUCGAGUGCCUGUUCAGCAUACACAAGGUCCUGGGUUCAAUCCCCCGUACCUCCA
rfam:Camelus ferus unplaced genomic scaffold scaffold2237, whole genome shotgun sequence.